rnacentral:rRNA from 1 species
UACGUAGGGUGCAAGCGUUGUCCGGAAUUAUUGGGCGUAAAGAGCUCGUAGGCGGUCUGUCGCGUCGGCUGUGAAAUCCCGAGGCUCAACCUCGGGUCUGCAGUCGAUACGGGCAAACUAGAGUAUUGCAGGGGAGACUGGAAUUCCUGGUGUAGCGGUGAAAUGCGCAGAUAUCAGGAGGAACACCGGUGGCGAAGGCGGGUCUCUGGGCCGAUACUGACGCUGAGGAGCGAAAGCGUGGGGAGCGAACAGG